CUCUGAGAUGGAUGUUGUUCCUAUUUUACCCAGGAGGAAACUGAGGUCCAGAGAGUUACCAGCCCUUCCCUGGAAAGGCCCGAGGCUCUGUGUGGAAGGAGAUAAGAUGCCGCCAGCUUCCAGCAGACCUGCAUUAGCCAGAGCGGCGUCAGGCACGCUGGGUCCCGAGAGGAGAAAACCAGCAACAGCAAGGGUUUAGCAGUUGGACCUGCCGGCCCAAUCCUUGAGAAUCACCCUGAAGCCUGUUAUGCAGAAAAAAGCAGCAGCAGGAAGAAACUUGGCCGGAGAGCUGGGCAUUGCCCUCACCUGCCCGAAUCGAAUUCUGCCCCUGUUCCUCCUCCCGCCUGGCCGGGGAGAGCUGGGGGUGCCACAUGGCCGUCCCCGGUUGGGCUCCCCUGGGCCUGCCUCCCUGCCCCUCCGUCCAGCCCGGUCCAGCCCAGUCCAGCGUGCUCCGUGGGCUGAAGUCA